UACGGAGGGGGCAAGCGUUAUUCGGAAUUAUUGGGCGUAAAGGGCGCGUAGGCGGCCUGACAAGUCGUAGGUGAAAUCCCUCGGCUCAACCGAGGAAUUGCCUUCGAUACUGCCAGGCUCGAGGCCGGGAGGGGGUGGCGGAAUUCCCAGUGUAGCGGUGAAAUGCGUAGAUAUUGGGAGGAACACCAGUGGCGAAGGCGGCCACCUGGACCGGUUCUGACGCUGAGGUGCGAAAGCGUGGGGAGCAAACAGG
rnacentral:misc_RNA from 1 species